UAGUGGUUGUUAACAGUUAACACACUUAAGACAGCUAGAGGUGGAUCUUCGGAUGGCCGCACUUUAGUGCCAAACAUCAAGAGGAUUUUAGAUUUCGAUUGAGAGGUUACUGUAAUGUGAGUCAUACUUAUCCGGAAGUGUGAUCCACCUCAAGAGGAUUUUAAUCGAAAAUCAUGAAUGCUUUUAUUUAUUAAUAUUGAGCUUUAGAUCAUCCUUUAUGUUGAAUGCAUAUUCUAACAUAGUUCCUAAGCAACCUCUUGACGACAGGUUUGUUUGGCGCUCUUCCAAGGACGGUAAUUUGACUGCAAACCAAGCCUAUGAAUUCUUUUUUCCGGCACAACAGCGGGUAGAUUGGACUGCUUGGCUUUGGCAUGUUUGUGUACCACCAUCUGCAUCAUUUAUUGCCUGGCGAUGCUUCCAUAAUAAAAUGCCUACAGAGGACACACUUAAGACAGCUAGAGCUGGAUCUUCGGAUGGCCGCACUUUAGUGCCAAACAUCAAGAGGAUUUUAGAUUUCGAUUGAGAGGUUACUGUACUGUGAGUCNNNNNNNNNNNNNNNNNNNNACCUCAAGAGGAUUUUAAUCGAAAAUCAUGAAUGCUUUUAUUUAUUAAUAUUGAGCUUUAGAUCAUCUGUUAUGUUGAAUGCAUAUUCUAACAUAGUUCCUAAGCAACCUCUUGACGACAGGUUUGUUUGGCGCUCUUCUAAGGACGGU
rnacentral:lncRNA from 1 species